rnacentral:rRNA from 1 species
CCUACGGGGUGCAGCAGUGGGGGAUAUUGGACAAUGGGGGAAACCCUGAUCCAGCGACGCCGCGUGAGUGAAGAAGUAUUUCGGUAUGUAAAGCUCUGUCAGCAGGGAAGAAAGAAAUGACGGUACCUGACCAAGAAGCCCCGGCUAACUACGUGCCAGCAGCCGCGGUAAUACGUAGGGGGCAAGCGUUAUCCGGAAUUACUGGGUGUAAAGGGAGCGUAGACGGUGAUGCAAGUCUGGAGUGAAAGGCGGGGGCCCAACCCCCGGACUGCUCUGGAAACUGUGUAACUUGAGUGCAGGAGAGGUAAGCGGAAUUCCUAGUGUAGGGGUGAAAUGCGUAGAUAUAUGUAAGAACACCAGUGGCGAAGGCGGCUUGCUGGGUCGAUACUGACAUUGAGGCACGAAAGCGUGGGGAGCAAACAGGAUUAGAUACCCCUGUAGUC